CCUACGGGAGGCAGCAGUGGGGAAUUUUGGACAAUGGGCGCAAGCCUGAUCCAGCCAUGCCGCGUGCAGGAUGAAGGCCUUCGGGUUGUAAACUGCUUUUGUACGGAACGAAAAGACUCUGGUUAAUACCUGGGGUCCAUGACGGUACCGUAAGAAUAAGCACCGGCUAACUACGUGCCAGCAGCCGCGGUAAUACGUAGGGUGCGAGCGUUAAUCGGAAUUACUGGGCGUAAAGCGUGCGCAGGCGGUUAUAUAAGACAGAUGUGAAAUCCCCGGGCUCAACCUGGGAACUGCAUUUGUGACUGUAUAGCUAGAGUACGGCAGAGGGGGAUGGAAUUCCGCGUGUAGCAGUGAAAUGCGUAGAUAUGCGGAGGAACACCGAUGGCGAAGGCAAUCCCCUGGGCCUGUACUGACGCUCAUGCACGAAAGCGUGGGGAGCAAACAGGAUUAGAUACCCUGGUAGUCCACGCCCUAAACGAUGUCAACUGGUUGUUGGGUCUUCACUGACUCAGUAACGAAGCUACGCGUGAAGUUGACCGCCUGGGGUGGUACGGCCGCGAGUAGUUAACGUUACAANAGAGUUGACGGCGNGAGACGNGCGACGGACGACGACGAGGGAGGAGG
rnacentral:rRNA from 1 species